AUUGAACGCUGGCGGCAUGCCUUACACAUGCAAGUCGAACGGCAGCACGGGAGCAAUCCUGGUGGCGAGUGGCGAACGGGUGAGUAAUACAUCGGAACGUGCCCAAUCGUGGGGGAUAACGCAGCGAAAGCUGUGCUAAUACCGCAUACGAUCUACGGAUGAAAGCAGGGGAUCGCAAGACCUUGCGCGAAUGGAGCGGCCGAUGGCAGAUUAGGUAGUUGGUGAGGUAAAGGCUCACCAAGCCGUCGAUCUGUAGCUGGUCUGAGAGGACGACCAGCCACACUGGGACUGAGACACGGCCCAGACUCCUACGGGAGGCAGCAGUGGGGAAUUUUGGACAAUGGGCGAAAGCCUGAUCCAGCCAUGCCGCGUGCAGGAUGAAGGCCUUCGGGUUGUAAACUGCUUUUGUACGGAACGAAACGGCCUUUUCUAAUAAAGAGGGCUAAUGACGGUACCGUAAGAAUAAGCACCGGCUAACUACGUGCCAGCAGCCGCGGUAAUACGUAGGGUGCAAGCGUUAAUCGGAAUUACUGGGCGUAAAGCGUGCGCAGGCGGUUAUGUAAGACAGUUGUGAAAUCCCCGGGCUCAACCUGGGAACUGCAUCUGUGACUGCAUAGCUAGAGUACGGUAGAGGGCGAUGGAAUUCCGCGUGUAGCAGUGAAAUGCGUAGAUAUGCGGAGGAACCCCGAUGGCCAAGGCAAUCCCUGGACCUGGACUGACGCUGAUGCAGAGAGCGUGGGGAGCAACACG
rnacentral:rRNA from 1 species